UGCUGAAGGAAGCUGUACAUUUACACAAUAAAUCACAUUGAGUUGUUUCUGUGUUGUUGUUAAUCAGGAAAGCUCCCCCAUCCACUGAUGAUGUCCUGGCUCCCACCACUCACCUCAUCAGGAAGAGAAGAGAGGAGCUGGACAUGCACAAGGCCAUGGAAGCCCUUCAAGAGGACUUUGCCAUGACCCUGAUGGCCCAGCGUGUCAGAGAUAAAGAGCUGAAGGAGAGGGAGGUUAACUUAAAGGAAUACCUCAGUAACUUCAACACAUUUCUCCAGGAGAAUAAAUUGAAAAACGGCCGUGCAUUGAAGACAGCAGUGAAGGAGAGAGAGCUAGCUCGUCAGAAAGCAGCGCACCUACUCAUCCUGAGACAGGAGCUCAAGGCUCUCACUAAAGAGAGAGAAAAGAUUGCCGGUCUUGUAGAGAAACAUGAAAUCUACCCCCGCUUUCUAGAUAAAGUGGUCAAAGCCAGCAAGCAGGUAUUUUAUUUAUUUAUUUAUUUCACCUUUAUUUAACCAGGUAGGCAAGUUGAGAACAAGUUCUCAUUUACAAUUGCGACCUGGCCAAGAUAAAGCAAAGCAGUUCGACACAUACAACGACACAGAGUUACACAUGGAGUAAAACAAACAUACAGUCAAUAAAACAGUAUAAACAAGUCUAUAUACAAUGUGAGCAAAUGAGGUGAGAUAAGGGAGGUAAAGGCAAAAAAAGGCCAUGGUGGCAAAGUAAAUACAAUAUAGCAAGUAAAACACUGGAAUGGUAGAUUUGCAAUGGGAGAAUGUGCAAAGUAGAAAUAAAAAUAAUGGGGUGCAAAGGAGGAAAAUAAAUAAAAUAAAUACAUUAGGGAAAGAGGUAGUUGUUUGGGCUAAAUUAUAGGUGGGCUAUGUACAGGUGCAGUAAUCUGUGAGCUGCAAGUGUUUCCAGUUUCAGAGAUUUUUGUAGUUCGUUCCAGUCAUUGGCAGCAGAGAACUGGAAGGAGAGGCGGCCAAAGAAAGAAUUGGUUUUGGGGGUGACUAGAGAGAUAUACCUGCUGGAGCGUGUGCUACAGGUGGGAGAUGCUAUGGUGACCAGCGAGCUGAGAUAAGGGGGGACUUUACCUAGCAGGGUCUUGUAGAUGACAUGGAGCCAGUGGGUUUGGCGAUGAGUAUGAAGCGAGGGCCAGCCAACGAGAGCGUACAGGUCGCAAUGGUGGGUAGUAUAUGGGGCUUUGGUGACAAAACGGAUUGCACUGUGAUAGACUGCAUCCAAUUUGUUGAGUAGGGUAUUGGAGGCUAUUUUGUAAAUGACAUCGCCGAAGUCGAGGAUUGGUAGGAUGGUCAGUUUUACAAGGGUAUGUUUGGCAGCAUGAGUGAAGGAUGCUUUGUUGCGAAAUAGAAAGCCAAUUCUAGAUUUAACUUUGGAUUGGAGAUGUUUGAUGUGGGUCUGGAAGGAGAGUUUACAGUCUAACCAGACACCUAGGUAUUUGUAGUUGUCCACGUAUUCUAAGUCAGAGCUGUCCAGAGUAGUGAUGUUGGACAGGCGGGCAGGUGCAGGCAGCGAUCGGUUGAAGAGCAUGCAUUUAGUUUUACUUGUUUUUAAGAGCAAUUGGAGGCAACGGAAGGAGAGUUGUAUGGCAUUGAAGCUUGCCUGGAGGGUUGUUAACACAGUGUCCAAAGAAGGGCCAGAAGUAUACAGAAUGGUGUCGUCUGCGUAGAGGUGGAUCAGAGACUCACCAGCAGCAAGAGCGACAUCAUUGAUGUAUACAGAGAAGAGAGUCGGUCCAAGAAUUGAACCCUGUGGCACCCCGAUAGAGACUGCCAGAGGUCCGGACAGCAGACCCUCCGAUUUGACACACUGAACUCUAUCAGAGAAGUAGCUGGUGAACCAGGCGAUGCAAUCAUUAGAGAAACCAAAGCUGUUGAGUCUGCCGAUGAGGGUGUGGUGAUUGACAGAAUCGAAAGCCUUGGCCAGAUCAAUGAAUACGGCUGCACAGUAAUGUUUCUUAUCGAUGGCAGUUAAGAUAUAGUUUAGGACCUUGAGCGUGGCUGAGGUGCACCCAUGACCAGCUCUGAAACCAGAUUGCAUAGCAGAGAAGGUAUGGUGAGAUUUGAAAUGGUCGGUAAACUGUUUGUUGACCUGGCUUUCGAAGACCUUAGAAGGGCAGGGUAGGAUCGAUAUAGGUCUGUAGCAGUUUGGGUCAAGGGUGUCCCCCCCUUUGAAGAGGGGGAUGACCGCAGCUGCUUUCCAAUCUUUGGGAAUCUCAGACGACACGAAAGAGAGGUUGAACAGGCUAGUAAUAGGGGUGGCAACAAUUUCGGCAGAUAAUUUUUAGAAAGAAAGGGUCCAGAUUGUCUAGCCCGGCUGAUUUGUAGGGGUCCAGAUUUUGCAGCUCUUUAAGAACAUCAGCUGAAUGGAUUUGGGAGAAGGAGAAAUGGGGAAGGCUUGGGCGAGUUGCUGUGGGGGGUGCAGUGCUGUUGACCGGGGUAGGAGUAGCCAGGUGGAAAGCAUGGCCAGCCGUAGAAAAAUGUUUAUUGAAAUUCUCAAUUAUGUUGGAUUUAUCAGUGGUGACAGUGUUUCCUAUCUUCAGUGCAGUGGGCAGCUGGGAGGAGGUGUUCUUAUUCUCCAUGGACUUUACAGUGUCCCAGAACUUUUUUGAGUUAGUGUUGCAGGAAGCAAAUUUCUGCUUGAAAAAGCUAGCCUUGGCUUUUCUAACUGCCUGUGUAUAAUGGUUUCUAGCUUCCCUGAACAGCUGCAUAUCACGGGGGCUGUUCGAUGCUGCAGAACGCCAUAGGAUGUUUUUGUGUUGGUUAAGGGCAGUCAGGUCUGGGGAGAACCAAGGGCUAUAUCUGUUCCUGGUUCUAAAUUUCUUGAAUGGGGCAUGCUUAUUUAAGAUGGUUAGGAAGGCAUUUAAAAAAAAUACCCAGGCAUCCUCUACUGACGGGAUGAGAUCAAUAUCCUUCCAGGAUACCCCUGCCAGGUCGAUUAGAAAGGCCUGCUCGCUGAAGUGUUUCAGGGAGCGUUUGACAGUGAUGAGUGGAGGUUGUUUGACCGCUGACCCAUUACGGAUGCAGGCAAUGAGGCAGUGAUCGCUGAGAUCUUGGUUGAAGACAGCAGAGGUCUAUUUAGAGGGCAAGUUGGUUAGGAUGAUAUCUAAGAGGGUGCCCGUGUUUAAGGCUUUGGGGAGGUACCUGGUAGGUUCAUUGAUAAUUUGUGUGAGAUUGAGGGCAUCAAGCUUAGAUUGUAGGAUUGCUGGGGUGUUAAGCAUGUUCCAGUUUAGGUCGCCUAGCAGCACGAGCUCUGAAGAUAGAUGGGGGGCAAUCAGUUCACAUAUGGUGUCCAGAGCACAGCUGGGGCAGAGGGUGUUCUAUAGCAGGCGGCAACGGUGAGAGACUUGUUUUUAGAGAGGUGGAUUUUUAAAAGUAGAAGUUCAAAUUGUUUGGGUACAGACCUGGAUAGUAGGACAGAACUCUGCAGGCUAUCUUUGCAGUAGAUUGCAACACCGCCCCUUUGGCAGUUCUAUCUUGUCUGAAAAUGUUGUAGUUUGGGAUUAAAAUUUCAGAAUUUUUGGUGGUCUUCCUAAGCCAGGAUUCAGACACAGCUAGAACAUCCGGGUUGGCAGAGUGUGCUAAAGCAGUGAAUAGAACAAACUUAGGGAGGAGGCUUCUAAUGUUAACAUGCAUGAAACCAAGGCUAUUACGGUUACAGAAGUCAUCAAAAGAGAGCGCCUGGGGAAUAGGAGUGGAGCUAGGCACUGCAGGGCCUGGAUUCACCUCUACAUCACAAGAGGAACAGAGGAGGAGUAGGAUAAGGGUACGGCUAAAAGCUAUGAGAAUUGGUCGUCUAGAACGUCUGGAACAGAGAGUAAAAGGAUGUUUCUGGGGGCGAUAAAAUAGCAUCAAGGUAUAAUGUACAGACAAAUGUAUGGUAUUAUGUGAAUACAGUGGAGGUAACCCUAGGCAUUGAGUGAUGAAGAGAGAGAUAUUGUCUCUAGAAACAUAAUUGAAACCAGGAGAUGUCAUCGCAUGUGUGGGUGGUGGAACUAAUAGGUUGGAUAAGGUAUAGUGAGCAGAACUAGAGGCUCUACAGUAAAAUAAGCCAAUAAACACUAACCAGAACAGCAAUGGACAAGGCAUAUUGACAUUAAGGAGAGGCAUUCUUAGUCGAGUGAUCAAAAGGGUCCAGUGAGUAGUGAGGUUGGUUGGGGUUACGGGCCAUCGGUAACAAGCUAGCAUAGGAUGGAGGUCUGUUAUUACUAACGUAAGUUUCCGUCGGUAGGAUUAGUGGGGUUCCGUGUGGUAGAGGGGAUGAAUCCAAAUCACACAAAGGUAAUGAGAGAUAUGAUAAGAUGGAAGAGACCAUCUCCCCGUAGAGGGGGUUCCAGUUUGUACUGUAUAGUUGAGGAGGCAGUGUGAGCUAAUUCUCUGGUCUGAUGGCUUGGUGGAACUGAUACCGAUACUGAGAUUUCUAAGACUCUCCAUGAGUUUGUAACAUAUUUAAUGGAACUAACUUCCAUUAUUAAGCCAUUGAGAG
rnacentral:lncRNA from 13 species